CGGUGGUGGUGCGCGAGGCGGCCAUUGGUUGGCCGAGUGUGCUGCUGAGGCUUGAGGACUGCUGUUGUUUUCUCUUCUCUGCAGGGGGCUAGGAUUUGGGCUUUAGGGUUUGUAUUUAAUUGGGUUUGGUCUUUUAGUUUGGGCCGGGCAUAAUUGGGCCUGUACAGCUGCUCCUCUUUACUCAUUGUCGUGUAACAAGAAUAGAGCAAAGACUUUCAGGAAAGACCAAUUUGCCCGGUCGCCAAGUCUGACUUCUUCGGUGCUCAUCAUUCUUCAGGUAGCUUUAUUAUGCUCCACUGCAACUUCGGGGAGAUAAGUCCCGCUCCGUUGUAACUUUAGGAAGAUAAAGUUUAUUUGGAUCUGCUCUACUGCAACUUCAGAGAGAUAAGACCUGUGAUUUUCAAUCUACUGAAACUUCAAGGAGAUCUGCUGUAGCUUUUAGCCGCUCCAACGCCAUUUCAGAGAGAGGAUAUUUGAUAUCCAGCCUGUUACCCUACUACUUAGAGGGUUAAGAUCUGUAAAUUCAGCCUGUUACCCUACUGUUUAGGGGGUUAAGGCCCUUCGUCUUCGAUCUCUUUCCCUGCUGCUUAGGGCGUUAAGAUCUAUAAAUUCAGCCUGUUACCCUACUGCUUAGGGGGUUAAGGCCCUUCGUCUUCGAUCUGUUUCCCUACUGCUUAGGGGGUUAAGAUCUGUAAAUUCAGCAUGUUACCCUACUGCUUAGGGGGUUAAGGCCCUUCGUCUUCGAUCUAUUUCCCUACUGCUUAGGGGGCUAAGAUCUGUAAAUUCAGCCUGUUACCCUACUGCUUAGGGGCUUAAGGCCCUUUGUCUUCGAUCUGUUUCCCUACUGCUUAGGGAGCUAAAAUCUGUAAAUUCAGCCUGUUACCCUACUGCUUAGGGGGUUAAGGCCCUUCGUCUUCGAUCUCUUUCCCUACUGCUUAGGGGGCUAAGAUCUGUAAAUUCAGCCUGUUACCCUACUGCUUAGAGGGCUGUUACCCUACUGCUUAGGGGGUUAAGGCCCUUCAUCUUCGAUCUCUUUCCCUACUACUUAGGGGGCUAAGAUCUGUAUAUUCAGCCUGUUACCCUACUGCUUAAGGGGUUAAGGCCCUUCGUCUUCGAUCUGUUACACCAUUCUUUGGAGAACAUGACCUGUUGAAUUCGUUUCAUGGACCUAUUUAUGCCAAAUGAUUAGGAUGUCAUGAUCAGAAUGAAUCAAAUGCUCCUAGCUAGACGUGUAUGAAUGACGUUUUCAUGAAUGCAAAAUGUCCCCCCUUUUUUUUAAAUCACUCGUUGUUCAUCGAGAUUUUAUUAUUGAUGUAUUAUUCUAUCUUUUCCUUGACUGGUAUCUCUGGCAGAAUACCCGAAGGAUAAUCGCAAUUUGGGCUAUUCUUUCCCCAACUUUUCCAAUCCUUGAAUUUGGGCGAUUCAAACUAAUUAGUCCCUUUUUAGGUCCUUGUAUCAUUUAGAAGAAUUUCAGAGUAAUAUACAGAACUCUUUUGAAUAUUAUUAGUCCAUUAAUCAUCAAUUUAAUGAAAGACGCUUGAAAAAGAUUAUCGCAAUAGGCAAGAUGGAAUUUUAUUGAGAGCGAAGCUCAAGAUGAACAAGGUAAUUAAGAUAGCACAUUUGCUAAGGUACAAAAUGAGAACCUACGAAUUAAUUAAGGUGGCACAUUCUGCUAAACAAAAUGAAUAAGAUAAGAAUAGGUGCCCCAGAUAUCGCAGUAUGAGCUUCGUUGCACAAACUUCUCGAGGACUCUUUAAACUUGGUAUGUGCUUGGAAGACCAAGAGUACUUUGUUGAUGCCCCAAUAUGUAACAUCCCUCCUUCCUGUUAAUUCAGAGAAGACAAAACUGAGAAGACAAAACUGCCGCAUGCCCUAUGUUUGAUCAAAAUUUGAAUUGCCCAUUCCUGGGUUUUCAAUUCAAACCCCUUUGGUCUCAAAGCGCCCUUUCACGGGUUUUCACCUUGGCCUCUCCAUUUUUUUUAUUAUUUUUAGGUAAAAUACCUCUUGACUGAAUCCGAAUUUACAGGAUUAGGCAGGCUUUUACCAUCCAUCUCGAUCAAAAUCAGAGCCCCUCUAGAGAAAGCCUUCUUUACCACAUAAGGUCCCUCCCAAUUUGGCAUCCAUUUCCCUUUGAAGUCCUUUUGUAUGGGAAGGAUCUUUUUCAAUACGAGGUCUCCUUCAUGGAAUUCUCUAGGGCAAACCUUUUUAUUAUAAUCCCGCAUCAUUCUCUUUUGAUACAUUUGACCAUAACGGAUAGCCUUUAGCCUCUUUUCUUCAAUCAAGUUCAACUGGUCAUAUCGAGAUUGGAUCCAUUCUGCUUCAUCUAAUUUUAGUUUUGAAAGCAUGCGUAGAGAGGGAAUCUCGACCUCAAUAGGCAGGAUUGCUUCCAUUCCAUAAACUAAUGAAAAAGGUGUUGCCCCGGUAGAGGUUCUGACUGACGUCCGGUAGGCAUAUAGGGCGAAUGGUAAUUUCUCGUGCCAAUCUUUAUAGGUCUCAGUCAUUUUUUCUAUGAUCUUCUUGAUGUUCUUAUUGACCACUUCCAUUGCACCAUUCAUCUUUUGGCGAUACAGUGACAAGUUAUGAUGUUUGAUCUUGAAUUGGCUACAGACUUCUGCUAUCGUGCUGUUGUUCAAGUUCAGUGCAUUGUCCGAUAUGAUCCUUUCAGGCAUCCCAUAUCGACAUAUGAUUUCUUUUUUUAAGAAUCUACUGACUGUUGACUUUGUGACGUUAGCAUAAGAGGUGGCCUCUACCCAUUUGGUGAAAUAAUCUAUAACGACAAAGAUGAAUCGAUGUCCAUUAGAUGCCUUUGGUGAGGUUGGCCCAAUGACAUCCAUGCCCCACAUUGAGAAAGGCCAUGGAGAAGUCAUGACAUGAAGGGGUGAAGGAGGUAUAUGAAUUUUAUCUCCAUAAAUUUGGCAUUUAUGGCACUUCUUGGCAUAGUUGAUGCAAUCUCCUUCCAUAGUGGACCAAUAAUAUCCAAAUCGCAUGAUCUGUCUAGCCAUGGUGAAACCAUUAGCAUGUGUUCCGCAGACACCCUCAUGAACCUCUUCCAGGAUUUGCUUAGCCUCGACAGUAUCUACACAUCUCAAGAGUACCUGAUCCUUCCUUCUUUUGUAUAGGAUCUCUCCAUCUAAGAGAUAGUCACCAACCAGUCUUCUUAAUGCCCUUUUAUCAUUCUCAAUUGCUUGAUUUGGGUAUUCGCGACUCCUCACAUAUCGUAAAAUAUCCUGGUACCAAGGAUGAUCAUCUUUCUCUUCUUCUUCUUCAAUAUUGCAGCAAUGAACCGGAGCCUCAUAAAUACUCAUUUGGAUAGGCUUUAUAUCCUCUUGUUUAUUCAUUUUGAUCAUAGAAGCUAAGGUUUCCAAAGCAUCAGCCAUCUGGUUUUUGUCUCGUGGGAGGUAGCAGAAAGUGAUAUCGUCAAACUCCUCGAUUAACUCAAGAACCAGCCUUCGGUAAUUGAUCAACUUAGGGUCUCUUGUCUCCCAUUCACCUUUAGGCUGAUAGAUCACUAAUGCAAAAUCUUCGUAUACCUCUAACACUUUGAUCUCGCGUUCAAUGGUUGCACGGAUGCCCAUGAUACAUGCUUCGUAUUCAGCCAUAUUGUUUGUGCAAUCAAAAUCCAAUUUACUGGUGAAAGGAUAAUGAUAUCCAUUUGGGGAUACCAAAAGUGCUCCAAUUCCAUUCCCUACAGCAUUGGAAGCUUCAUCAAAAUUCAACUUCCAGGGGUGGCCUUCUUGAGAGUCUUCCUCCAUGGUUGCCACGUACAUUAGAUCCUCAUUUGGGAAGUCAAAGCUUAACGGUUCAUAAUCUUCUAGAGCCCUACUGGCUAGAAAAUCUGCUAUUGCACUCCCCUUUACAGCCUUUUGGUUCACGUAGACUAUGUCAAACUCAGAAAGCAAAAUUUGCCACUGAGCCAUUCUUCCGUUCAAAGUGUUUGAUUCCAUCAUAUACUUCAAAGGGUCUAGUUUUGAGAUGAGCCAAGUUAUGUGGUACAACAUGUAUUGUCUCAGCCUUCAGGUUGUCCAAAUCAAAGCACAACACAACUUCUCGAUCGACUAAUAUCUUGUCUCACAUUUGGUGAAUUUCUUGCUGAGAUAGUAUAUCGCUUUCUCUUUUCUUCCUGACUCGUCAUGUUGGCCCAACACGCAUCCCAUGGAGUUUUCGAACACUGCCAAGUAUAGUAUCAGUGGUUUAUCUAGGCAAGGUGGCAUCAGUACUGGGGCAUUGGACAAACAAUGUUUGACCUUAUCGAAAGUUUUCUGGCAUUCCUCAUCCUAAACACCUGGAUUAUGCUUCCUAAGGAAACGAAAUAUGGGGUCACAUUUUUCCGUCAAUUGCGAAAUGAAACAGGCAAUGUAAUUCAGUCUUCCUAGGAAACCUCAAACUUUUUUUUGAGUGCGUGGUGGAGGUAAUUCUUGUAUAGCCUUGACUUUAUCCGGGUCAAUCUCGAUCCAUUUUUCACUGACCAUGAAUCCCAACAACUUUCCUGACCUGGCCCCGAAGGUACACUUUGUGGGAUUGAGCUUUAGUUGGUACUUCCUUAACCUCAAGAAUAGUUUCCUUAGGACCUGCACAUGCUCCUUCUCGGUUUUGGAUUUUGCAAUCAUGUCAUCAACGUAAACUUCGAUCUCCUUGUGUAUCAUGUCAUGGAACAAAGUUACCAUGGCUCUCUGAUAUGUUACUCCUGCAUUCUUUAAUCCGAAUGGCAUCACUUUAUAACAAAACGUUCCCCACAUGGUUACAAAUGUUGUCUUUUCCAUGUCUUCAGGAUACAUUUUUAUCUGUUUGUAUCCCGAGAAGCCGUCCAUGAAUGAGAAAAGUGAGUAACCUGUCGUGUUGUCCACUAGUGUAUCAAUGUGAGGCAAUGGGAAAUUAUCUUUGGGGCUGGCCUUGUUCAAAUCCCGAUAGUCCACGCACAUCUGUACCUUUCCAUCUUUCUUAGGAACUGGGACUAUGUUGGCUACCCAUUCUGAGUACUUGACCACUUGUAAGAAACCGGCGUCGAAUUACUUCUUGACCUCUUCCUUUAUCUUCAACAAAACAUUGGGUCUCAUCCUUCGGAGUUUCUGUUGUACUGGCCUGCAUUCUUCCUUUAUGGGGAGUCGAUGUACCACGAUAUCAGUAUUCAACUCGGGCAUGUCUUGAUAUGACCAUGCAAAAACAUCCUUAAAUUCCCGGAGUAACUCGAUGAGGUCCUGCUUUGUUUCUGCAGCGAUACUAGCUCCUAUUUUCACCUCUUUUCCUUCUCCUAAGCUAACAAUUUCCACCGGCUCCUUAUGAGGUAGGAUUUGUUUCUCCUCUUGAUCUAUUAUCCUUAACAAAUCAGGAGAUGGGCUACAAUUUUGGUCAUAUUUAAAAUCCUCAGUGUCCUUCAUACACAAAUCUUGCUCGAAAGGAAUUUCUGAGUCAUUAGCAACGUUGCUCAUGUCAUUGAUAUCUAGAGACCUAUUAUGGACGAAAAAAGAAAUCCAAAGAACAAAGGAAUCUAAGAAUAUUUUAUUCGUGUGGUAUGAUUAUGAAUGAAGUGGAAAGAACAAAAGAAUGUUUACUCAAAUUGAUACCCAAAGAUGCAUUUUUAUUGAAAUAAUGAUACUGGAUAAUAGCCUAUUUCACAAAAGGAUUCUUAUUGCCCCUAGGCUUAGAGCGAUAAGCUUGUUUUGGAUAUUACUCUGAAUUAAUUUUAAAAGUUACAGGGAUUUCCUCCGCGGUCCAAUUGUUUAAAAUGCUCCCAGGCACGUAUGGGCAAAUGUCUAAUUGAUCCCCUUCUCUUGUUUCUUCUUCGGAUAUGGUAUUAAUGCUCAAACUUCCCAAUAUCUCCUCGGCAAACCCCUUCUUUUCCGAUCUUUCUUCAGAAUGAAUGGUCCCUCCUGACACGAAUAUUUUGGAUAUGUGAGGAAAGGCCAUUGGUUCCCAUUUGACCUCUUCUCCAUUCAAAUGCGUUCUCCUCCUUUCUUGUUUCUUCUCUAUUUCCUUCUUCCUCUGCCUUGCAUCUGGCUUGUACCCUAAGCCAAAACGGUCUUGUUUGUCGGUGAGCAUAGGUGCCUUUAUCCUUCCUUGUAGAUUUCUUCCAAACCCCUUUCCGGGCACAGCUCCUUUCCCAACUGUCAAUAGCAAACCCAUCUUGGUAGUUUUAGAGAUUUUGGGCACCGGGACCUUGUUCCUUUCGACAAUAAAUGUUGCAUUCACAAAUUCUAAUGAUUAGAAAGAACAUUCUAUUGCUUCAUCAUCUAUCCCUACAUAAGCUGCGUCGUUAGUAACAGACGCAAUGAUAUCCUCUUCUGCGUUUAUAGUCACCAAUCGCCCCUCUGUUAUAAAUUUGAGCUUCUGAUGCAGCGAUGACGGUACUGCCCUUGCCGAGUGAAUCCACGGCCUUCCCAACAAGCAAUUGUAAGAAGGCUUGAUGUCCAUUACUAAAAAAUCUAUCUUGUAUGUACUUGGACCGAUUAAAAGGGGUAUUUCAAUCCUCCCCAUUACCUUCCUUUCAGUACCAUCAAAUGCCCUUACUAUAUUCUAGCAUGUCUUCAUAUGGGAGCUAUCUACUGGCAGCCUCUUCAGCAUAGACAUGGGUAGGACAUUUAGUGCAGACCCAUUGUCGAUCAACACUCCCGGUAGUGUAUGUCCUUUAUAGCGGGUUGUGAUAAGUAGCACUUUUGUUGAUCCCAUUCCUCUCGGUGGUAUUUCAUCAUCAUUGAAAAAUAUGAAAUUAUCGGCGCUUAUAUUAUUGACGAGACGGUCCAGCUUGUUGAUAGAGAUAUCAUUCGCGACGUAAGUUUCAUUAAGCACCUUCAUUAACGCGCUUCGAUGUGUCUCCGAACUCAAGAGCAAAGCUAAUACCGAGAUACGAGCCGGUUGCUUAUGUAACUGUUCAACCACGCUGUACUCACUGUGCUUCAAGAAUUUUAGGAAUUCUCUAGCUUCUUUCUCAGUUACUGGUUUGUUGAUUGGUGAUUCGAACCUGACCGUUUUUUCCUUUCUUUGCUUGGCUAUUGGGGUUUUUUCCUUAAUAGUUUCAGUUUCUGUACUUGUAGGGUCAUAACGUCUUCCGCUACGUGUAUAGAAACCUAUAUUUUGGUUCUCUCUUAAAACAUUGGCCUUACUCUGUCUACCUGGGAUCAUCACGUUGUAGUCAUAAUUCCAGGGAACCAUUUUACUAUCCUUGUAAGGGAAGGAUACCAGUUUCUGAAUUAUGACUCUUGGCACCAUUUGUACCCCUGCUUCAUUGUUCUUUGGUCGCGAAAUUAUCACCACAGGGUGAUUGACUCUUUGGGCCUCUUCUGUUGUUCUUUUUUCUGAGGCGUAGACCUCUCCUUCUUUUGACCCUUCAAUUUCUUCGUAAAAUUUAAUCUCUUUAUUGUCCAUUAGAUUUUGCACUAUGGACCUGAACUUACUGCACUCUUGGAUGUCAUGACCUCCAUUGGCAUGAAACUCGAUGUAUCUUCUUGCUUCUUUAGGCCUUUCCUUUGAAUCUUGUGUGAUCAAAUCUCCUUCCAUCAUCUUCUUCUAAACCCAUUUCAAUAGAGUUUUUACCUCUGAGACAUCUAUCUUAGUUUUCUUUCCUCCACUUUCGACUAUUGCAUUUACCCCAUCGUCUGAAUGACUGGGUAACGGGUUUUCUGCCAUAUUAGGUUUUAUGGGAUCAUCGAAGCCCAUCUUUAUGAACCUUUCGACUAAUUUUUUAAAGGUCGUGCAGUUCUCAAUUGUAUGUCCUGCAGUUCCUACAUGGUAUUCACAUUGCGCGUUUGCGUCAUACCACUUUGGGAAUGGAGGUUGCAUGGGUUUCAGGUAAAAUAGAGACACCACAUGCGUAUUGAACAGAUUUUGGUAAAGCUCCCUAUACGUCAUAGGGAUCGGCGUGAAUUGAAAUCUUUCCGUGUUAGGUCUUGGGUUGGAAUCUUGACUCGCAGAGCCCUGAUGGCUAGUAGUCACAGCCCUCGGUUGGCUUGCUGUGAUUGGCUUGGAACAACCCUUAUGAUAUGCGCUUGCAUUAUUCACCUCAUUUUCUUUCCUUCUUGGAGCCGACCUUUUGGCACUUUCUCCCGCUUCAAUUUUCCCACAUCUCACCGUGUUUUCUAUCAUCUCCCCAGACAUCACUAUGUCAGAGAAGCUCUUAGUAGCGCUUCCAAACAUGUGGUUAAUGAAUGGGGCCUUCAGGGUAUUGAUAAAAAGCAUGGUUGUUUCCUUUUCCAAGAGAGGUCGUUGGACCUGCAUUGCCAUCUCCCUCCACCAUUGUGCAUACUGCCUAAAGCUCUCACUCGGCUUUUUUUCCAUAUUUUGUAGGGUAAUUCUAUCGGGUGCUAUGUCUGUCACGUGACCGUAUUGUUUCAUGAAAGCUUGAGCCAAGUCCUUCCAUGAACCAAUUUGGGCACGACUGAGCUGGUUAUACCACUUGACCAUAGAUCCGAUCAGACUAUCCUGGAAAUAGUGGAUCAACAGCUGAUCAUUGUUAACAUACCCUGUCAUUCUUCGACAGAACAUCAUAAUAUAAGCUUCAGGGCAGCUCGUCCCGUUAUACUUUUCGAACUCUGGGGUUUUAAAUUUUGGUGGGAGCACCAGAUCUGGGACUAAGCUUAAGUCCUUGGCGUCGAUCCUGCUACGGUAAUCAGCAGUCUCCAUUGCUUUGAAUUUUUCUUCAAGCCAUUUACAACGAUCAUCGAGUUGUUUUGCCAGGUCUACUUUUUCUUUCUCCAUUUCUGCCAUGUCGUCGAGGUCCGAGACGAAUGGAUUAGCUGGAUUAUCUCUGGGCUUAGAGCUCGAACCUUGUCGAGGCAUUGGCCUGGUAUUGCUGGGGCCUAAUAGUGACGGGUACCGUUCGUGGGUGCACCUCUAGUUGUGGUUGAGUCUUUACUGGAGCAAAGCCUGGAGGAUAGAUAGGGUCCUCAUUAUUGUCCCCCAUAGUGCUCUUCCCUUUCUCGCGUUCUCUAGCCAUCAACUGCGCCAACUGGCCUAUCAGAUUAUUUUGGGAUUCUUCUAUUUUUCCUUCAUAUCUUGUUGUAUCUUAGCCAGUUGCUCUUGCAUCUGCGCUUGUAAUUGCUCUUGCAUUUCCCUUUGCAUUUGUUCUAUUCUUUCUAAUCUCUGAUCCAUUGCUUUGGUUUUACGGCGGGUAUAGUAGCUGUGUUCGGUCGGUUGAUUCUCGUUGGUUUCCAGAUUAACUGAAAUAAUUUGGUUUAAUCAGGGUCUUUUCGUGAAAUUUAAUGCACAUGAUGAAAUGUAAUGCAAAUGAAUGAAUGCAAAAAGAAGUGUUGAUUCUAAUUCAAUUUCAUUAGAAGAACUUUACUAGAAGAAUAAUUUCUUUACACAGAACCGAUGAUUACAUAUACGACUUCGCCCUAAUGCCUAAAGCCUUAAUUUUCCUAAGAAGCCAAGCUAAGUUUCGGCCUCGAUCUGAUUCUAACUCGUACUUUAAGCUCAAUACAUCAGCCUGAACUACCAAGGUUUGCAAGUGAUCGGCUACCUCCCGAACCUGAGCCACAGCUUCGCCCAUGACAUAGUCUCUUUCUCUAAUCUGGUUUUGAGAGCGGUGAAGCUAUUCCCUACAAUGGUCAUUGUUUGCCUUAAGAAGUUCUACUCGAAUUUUGCUAUCUCACAGCGUAGUCUCGAGUUCCUCUACUUUCCCUUUCAACUCUCAAAUCCUGCUCAGACUAGCUUUCAACUCAAUUACGGAAUUACGGCUACGAUAUUGAUGUAGUGAUCUUUCCAAUUCAACCACACGAGCUCGUAACUUCUCAUUUUCUUUUUGGAUUUCUAUCAAACUCUUUUUCAAAAUGUCCUCUCGUUCUCGGGCAUCUUGAAACUUUUUCUCGCAAUGGUCGGAUCUAGUCUUUUCCUCUUUGAUCUCUUGGCGCCAUUGCUCUGAUGUUUUACCUAAAUCGGCAGUUCUUAUCGACAUGCGCAGCUUCUUGUAAUCGGCUUUCGGACUAUCCAGAUCUUCUUCGGCCUUAUUCUUUCCUUUCCUUAAUUUCUCGGCCUCUAGCUUGUGGAUAUCGACGUCUAACCCCAACUUCAUUUUCUCUUCUUCUAGCUGCUCUAUCUUCUUUCCCAACUCAGAGUUCCCUUUCUCGAAGUCUUGCUUAAUGAUCUCCAACUCGGAUGGGAUGACUCGUAAAUGCUCCUCUAUUGGUUGGGUGUUCCCUUGAUUUGGCCUAGGGAUGUUGUCGUUCACUCUCCUAUCCCACCACCAUUCAUACCCGGGGGUGGUCAUCUGGCCUGUGGUAAAUCUUUUCAUUCUCCGAGCUUGGUUCCAUGCAUCUGAUAUCUUGCGAACUUUUUUCUUAUAACCGUUAUCCUUAUAAGAGAACUCAUAUUGAGCUAACCCUUGUGUCACUGGUAUGAACUGCCUCGAUCAAUACUGCCUUAACAUCAUCAGCAGAGCGUAUCCAACGGCUCCCCAUAUUGCAGCCAGAGGGACCCAGUCAAAAUCACCGCACCUAUAUAAAAUCUCGUCAGGAAUCAACCACGGAGCCCUCCAUUCAACGUCUUUGGCCCGCAAAUUUUGGAGAAUAAUUAUUCACUUCUCUUCUGAGAUAUCGUCUCACCUUGAUGUGGCCACUAAUUCUCUUAAUGGGGAAUAAUCCCUAGAGAAUACCCGAUAGGAGACCUUCUCCACCUUUCAAAAAUGAUUGUGGAACCAAACCAAAAGAAGCUGUGCACAACCGAUAAAUCUUCCCUCGCCCGCUCUCUGGCAUGUAUUCAAGGAUCGGAAAGUUUCUGCUAGGAUUUCCGGGAUGGGUGUGGUGCCUUUAUCAAGUCAAUCGAAUAAGUCCGAGACGGCUUCAUCUAUGUGUCCUAGCACCUUAGGAAAGAUGAUCAAACCGUAGAGACUUAAGGCAACAACAUCAACCCUUUUCUUCGAAUCCGGGUGCGCAAGAAUCAGAUCCCUCAAAUUCCUCCAAGGAAUACACUUACUAUCCCCUUUUUGCUUGAUGCGAGCUGCAACCCAUUGCUCGCUCACCCCCGUGAUAUUCAUCAAUUUCUUCAAGAAGGGAGGGACGUUGACAGGUCUUGAAUAGGCCCUAUCAGCCUGAAUCCUCGGGCAAUUAAGUAGCGCUAUGUAUUCCUCCACAGUAGGUACUAAGUCAACUCCUCCGAAGGUGAAGCAACUGUAAACGGGGUUCCAAAACUGUGUGAGGGCCCGGAACAAGUACUUGUCCACCUUUACAUUGAUCAAAUAGGGCAGAUCGCCGUAGUUACAAUAAAAGUGUUGCUUGACUUCACCAUUCCAACUAUUCCAUAUAUCUCUUAACUCUUGCAGGUCGUUCUGAGUUAUACUAAUGCGAGUGAAAUCCCACAACUCCGAAUCAUAUCCCUCGAUCAAACUAUCUCCUUUCUCUUGUUGCAUUCUCUCGGAUCAUACUCGGACGGCCGCAUUGUCCUCCACUCUAUUAAGAAAUCCUUUUUCCAUGUCAAACUCUCCUAUCUAGUAACCGAACGUGAAUCAACACCCUUUUAUGAUGAGAUGCCAUGCGAAAAUAAUCAAAACACCACCAGUCAGUAUUAUAUACAAAGAAUAGAAUUCAAAACAAAUAAGGAGUAAAUAAGCACCUAAUCGGGUGACCACUAGGGUUCGGUGUGGUUCUACCUAGGGUAGACUCCUAGGGCUCAUUACAUGUGGUUCGGUUCUAGAGUAAAGGUACCUGAACCAGCAGAUUCCUCGAUCCUCACCCAUUAUAAGCUCAUACAGACUGAGUUCGAUUCAGGGGAAUACAUUUCUCUACGGCUAUACGGAGAUGAAAACCUCACGAAGACGCAGGUACGGAUGUAUCCCGAAAGCGAUCCACUAUCCUAUAUGGAGGUGAAGACCUCACGAAGGAGUAGUUUCUCACUUCUACUUAAGAGGGUGAAAUUGACCGGUAAUGCGAUGCGAUAUGCAAAGAUACAUCAAAGAAUUAAACCACUUAAAGCAGCAUAUUAUAAAGAAAGCCAUGAAAGUAACAGACAACAAGCAAUGUAGUAAAUUUAAAACCGAUUUUCAAUUUUCGACAAAAGACAAUAAAUAAUCAAUUUAAGGCUCGACUCUCGAAGUCCCCAGUGGAGUCGCCAAGCUGUCGAAACCAUUUUUUGAAAAAACGCGGGGAUCGACUUGGUUUUAAAAACAAAAAUUAAAAUGGGAGUCGCCGCCGAUCCUUAUUAGGUGUGAUCGGAUCACCUUUGUUUUAAUAAAACAUUUUAGUUUACUAAAACAGUAUUUUGGUCUACGAAUUUUAAGAGAACAAGUUCGGGAGUCGGUUGCGUGCGAGGAAGGAUUAGCGCCCUCGACACGCCCAAGAAUUGGUACCUAAUUGAUUAGUUAGUGUCUUAAUGUCAAAAAUCGAAAAUCGGGAAUGAAUUUGAAAUACGAUAUUUUCUAUAAAUAUCGAUUCUAAAAUUUUUGAAUUAGCACAAAACAAUUUGUUUAAAGAUUUCCUUAUCUCGAGAUAUCGGAGUAUCACAUCCCGUAAGUUAGGACACAAUACUAUGAAUUCCUGAGCACAAGGUCGCCUUUUAAUUUAAAUGAGAGUUUCGUAUUUUAAAACUCGAAAAGGAUAUUUAGCCAUUUAGAAACAACGAGGAAAUUGAAACCCCGUAAGUUAGGGCACAAUUCCUCGAUAUUUCAAAAUGCAUAACAUUGCCUUAUUUGGAAAAUUUUGUUUUUGAAUAGUAACGAAUACAAUAUUCAAGCAAAAUGUGUUAUUUAUUUAGGUUAAAAUAAGGUGAUUUAUUGGAUAAAUACAUUGGGGUUUAAUUCGUGAGGCAAAGAUAUGAGAUACGAGAGAAUGAGUAUAAACAAUAAUACAUGGAUGACGUCACGUAAAUAUACAACAAGGUGAAAAUGUAAGUGAACAAUUUAUGAUACAUGCGAAGACAAUAAUGGCUCACAUACAUCAUUCACAUACUAACAUUAACAAUUAAUGAACAAAAACAUAUUUGACAAUCUAAAAAAUAUAAAUAGUACAAAGCAAGUGAAAUUGAAUAAAGUAUAAAACCAUAAAGAAAACUAAUAAACGAGUUUAAAAAUAAAUAAAAUAAAAGAUGAAAUUCUUUUUAAAAUCAAUAAUGUAUAUAAAGCGACUUAAGAAAAGAUAAUACAUAUAACUUUUAGAACCAAUAAUAUAUGUACAUAAAAGCAUACUACGGGUAAUAUAAGAAAAUCCUAUAAUAAAUAAUAAAUAGAAUGUUUUAGAAUAAACGAAUGGAAAUUUGAAGGGUACAUGAAAACAAUUUAAACUAAUGAAAUAAAUUUUAAAUAAAUAAUGCAAAAGAUGAUUUUUUUUAAAUGGUACUCUUGAAGUAUAAAUACGGUGGUUUAUAAAUUGCUAUGAAUAAUGUUUUCGGCAUAAGAUAAAAUAAUAUAAAAUAUACAAUAAAAACAAAACAAUUUAACACAUCAUGUGAAAUAUUUAAAACAAACAUGCAAACUAAAAAGGCGAACAGUUUACAAAAGGGAACAUAAAAUAAAUAAUGUAUAUAUAUAUAUAUGCAUUCAAAUAAACGAACAAUGUGACAAAUCUUAUAAGUAACACGUGAAAUUUUAAACUAAAUAAAUAUAACAUCUAAAUGGGCAGCAAAUAAAAUGUAUAAAAACAUGAUAAAACAAUUUGAAAUAAAAGGGUGAGGGCUAAAUUAAAAUAAAAUAAAAAAGGGGUAUAAAUUAUAAAAUAGAAAAUUGCCAGGGGUUAGAUUGAGAUACGCGAGAAGAAACAGGGGUCAACUGGGCAAUUACCCCAACCCUUAAUGCGCUGCGUUUCAAUGUUUAGUCCAGGGAUCAAAUCAGAGAUGGAAUAAAAUAAUUGGGCUAAAUUUAAAAAAGAAGAAAAAAGCCAAUCGGGACUAAAUCAAAUAUCAGAAAAAGGGGGGGACCAAGGCGAGCAAUUUCCCAUUUAAAGGAAAAACACGGAUCCCCUGGGUACGGGUCGGGUCGCGAAUGGGCACCCCUAAAACGGUGCCGUUUGGGCACUUAGGUCACCCUUCAAAACGCUGCCGUUUCACGCAGCAGAUUUAACCCCAAAUUUUUUUUGAAAAUUCCAUUUUUGCAGUCCAUUUUUACAGAAAAUUCCAAAAGCUUUCUCUCUUCUCUGUCAGGUUUUAAACCCCCCCCCCAUUUUCACAAAAACAGCAGAGCGUCUCUUGCUCUCCGUCCCUCCUUCAUGGCCGACCAUGGAUUCAUUGGGAGAUCCCCAUGUCCCGCGCCGCGAACGACGACCAGCGCUACAUGGAAAGGGUCCCUUCGACCCUCUUUUUGAACGGGUUUGAAGUAGGAACACUCACGACCACAGCAACGCAAGGGAAAAGGGAGGACCCAUCGGCUCCUCGCCCUCUGCCACGGCCAUUGGUCGAACCCCAGGGUGUGACGGCCAUCAGAUCGGCGAAAGGACACCGGAGCGCACCCAAAUGGCGAAUCGAAGGUGCGUUUUUAUCCUCCUACCACUUAUUAUUUUUUCGUAAAUAAAAAAUAAGAAAACAAAAUAGAAUGCAAAUAAAAUCGAAAACUGAAACACCAACAAAAUAUUCACCUUUCGAAAAUUCUAUUCUUUUUUUGAUUAAUCUUGUUUGCAAAGUGUUUUUCUUCCCCCUUUUCAAAAUUUCUCCCUUCGGUUUUAUAACCGAUUACAAUAACAAUAAAAAAUGCUCUCAUUCCUCUGUUAUGGCUGUUGUUUUUGUUGUUUGUGUUUGCAGGGUAUGGGUGUGUCAGACGCAUGGAAGGAGCAUAUGCCGGUGGUGGUGCGCGAGGCGGCCAUUGGUUGGCCGAGUGUGCUGCUGAGGCUUGAGGGCUGCUGUUGUUUUCUCUUCUCUGCAGGGGGUUAGGAUUUGGUUUUUAGGGUUUGUAUUUAAUUGGGUUUGGUCUUUUAGUUUGGGCCGAGCAUAAUUGGGCCUGUACAGCUGGUACGCACACAUAGAUAUACAGAGAGAAAACAAGAAGCAUAGAUAGACAAGUAUACACAGAAAACAUCAUAAAAAAUUUUGUAUUCGAUCAAAAGACAGAGAAAUAAAGCAGAUCUUUUUGAAAGGGUAAUAGAUCGUCUCUUUUAUUUU
rnacentral:lncRNA from 1 species